rnacentral:lncRNA from 1 species
CACAGUAACAUCUAAAAACAAUGUAACGACUAAGAAAAGCUCUAUAAUUUGGUACAAAGUUUAAUCUUUGGACCCAAAGGUUCAAAUCCCAGACUGUUCCACUUACUGAUUCUACAACCUCUAUCCAAUUAUUUAACCAGAGAGGUUAAGGAUAAUCAGAAGUGCCCCAUGGUGUUUUGUGACCACUGAGACAAUGUAUAUGCAAUUGAUUUGUAAACUCAGCUGCUGCAGAUGUAUUAUUUUGAACUUAGAGAUGCUAAGCAUCUUGUCCCAUUUGCUCAUUCUCUCAUUCAUAUAGUCACAAGCGCCUAGUCGAGCACCUUCCAUGUGCCAGACCGUCUGGAAGCACAGAGGAUGUUAGGUUGAAUAAGAUGGGGGCCGCAGAGACCAGAUGGAAAACAAAAGCAUGAACCCAGUAGUCAGGUGGGUUAAUAGUCUAAUAGAGGGAGCAGGAGGGCUGAACCAAGGGAUGGAGAAAAACAGUCAGAUCUGGGACACAUAUAGGAGCUGGUCUUAUUCACAGUUCUGACUGAUUAUUAGCAGAGAAUGAAAGAGACGGAAAAACCUACAGUGACCCUCAAGGUUUCCAGCCUGGUCAUGUGGAAGGAUAUAGUGUGAGCUUUCCUUGGAUGGUGUGGAACAGGUACUGUCAGGUACUGUUGUAAAAACUAAGUUUUUUGUUUGUUUGUUUGUUUUUUUGAGGA